AACGAGGGCGGGAAACCCCGUUGGCUCCGCCCCCUCCCCCUCGCGCUGAAACGCGCCGCGGGCGAAAGCGCGGGAAAGUCGUUCUGACCCAAAAUUCGCCUAAAUUCGAGUAAAAACGGGGCGGAGUUAUUAAUAAUAACACUGACGAAACGCCGCUGGAGUAAAACACCGCGGAAACACUGCCGGAGUGACACACUGCUGUUGUUUGUGGUGAUUCCACCCCUCCUCUGCCCGGCUUACCCCCAGGGUUUUCGACAUUCCAACGCCCUGAAAUUUAAACGCUGGGGUUUUUUUAAUGUUUGCCAACAUUUCUGCUCCCGAGUGAGCGUGGAUUAAGCAGUUCUCCAAACACCGGUGUCCCAGCAGCAGAUGGAGAUGCACAGCCCAUUGCCCAGCCCUGGCUGAACUCCCUAAGAAGUAAAAAAACCCAGUCAAAGAGAGGAAGCAAGUGGGAGCUUUCAGGAAAGGCUUUAAAACUGGCUGUUUGCACUCAUUUUGAUUUACAUUAAUUUUAUCUAGCUCUGCUCUACAUUAAAACAGUGAUAAUCAGUUUAACUUCCAUCAGAUUGAACAGACACAGGCUGGAAUUGGACAAACACUUCCAAAAAAACCUCGCUGGUGGCAAAGUAUUUUUUUUUUCCUUCCAGAUAACACAGCCACAGACCCAAGGUAAGAGUUUUUUUAAAAAAAAGAUCCCAUAAAUCCCCACAGCACAGAAAGGAGAGUGGGGGAUGAAAAGAAAGUAUCGUAGGAUUGCAACUUUAUUUCUAAAAGCGUGGAUGAGAAAUAUGCCCCAAGAUUUAGCCAAGUUUAGUGGUGCCUUGUUAUAAACAUGAGCUGCUUUGUACUCAAGGAAUUUAAAUUAUCCUGAGUCCACCGUUCUGUGUACAAAAUUCCUCAGUUUUUCUUUGCUUUCAGAAGAUAAACGUUUUUUCACAUAACUUUAUCCACAAGAGGGUUUCUCAGUCGUUCUUAAAGGUGCUAAAUCGAUUUUUCUCUCGUAAAAUCCUAAAGAAACACUCCUUUUAGCAGCAGCUCCGUUUGCUCCC
rnacentral:lncRNA from 1 species